GUAGCUCAGUGGUAGAGUGCUUGCCUUGCAUGCAUGAGGCACUGGGUUCGAUUCCUCAGC
rfam:Dipodomys ordii contig_52469, whole genome shotgun sequence.